UCUCAGGGAGCAGAGCUCCGGGGGCUCCACCAUGGCCUGGACUCCUCUCCUGCUCAGCCUCCUUACUCUCUGCCAAGGUGCUUGGGCCCAGUCUGUGCUGACUCAGCCGGCAUCCAGGUCAGGGUCCCUGGGUCAGUCGGUCUCCAUCCCCUGCACUCGAAGCAGUGGCAGCAUUGGUAGCUACUAUGUGCACUGGUACCAGCAGCACCAGGGCGGGAGCCCCAAGCUCAUUAUCUAUGAGGAUAAUAAACGUCCCUCCGGGAUUCCAGAGAGAUUCUCAGGCUCCAUAGAUGACUCAAGCAACUCAGCGACUCUGAGCAUCUCUGGGCUGCAGCCUGAGGAUGAGGCUGCUUAUUAUUGUCAACAACCAGCCCACAGUGGUUCACAUCAGUGGGGAAGUGAGACAAAAACCCCUGAACUCCACUGGUCUAUUAUUGGGCAGGGCCAUGGUCUGACCCUGGGGGAAGGAGAGGCAGCAGGAGACCCAGGUCUGGCUUCCUGGACCAAGGUGUACUUGAGGUAG